rnacentral:rRNA from 1 species
UUAAAUUGAAGAGUUUGAUCAUGGCUCAGAUUGAACGCUGGCGGCAGGCCUAACACAUGCAAGUCGAGCGGAAACGACUUAACUGAACCUUCGGGGAACGUUAAGGGCGUCGAGCGGCGGACGGGUGAGUAAUGCCUAGGAAAUUGCCUUGAUGUGGGGGAUAACCAUUGGAAACGAUGGCUAAUACCGCAUAA